GAUGAACGCUAGCGGCAGGCCUAACACAUGCAAGUCGAGGGAGAAGCCCUUUCGGGGGCAGAAACCGGCACGCGGGUGCGUAACGCGUAUGCAACCUACCUUUCACAGGGGGAUAGCCCGAAGAAAUUUGGAUUAAUACCCCAUAAUAUUAUUGGAUGGCAUCAUUUGAUAAUUAAAACUGCGGUGGUGAAAGAUGGGCAUGCGUCCUAUUAGCUAGUUGGAGUGGUAACGGCACCCCAAGGCUACGAUAGGUAGGGGUCCUGAGAGGGAGAUCCCCCACACUGGUACUGAGACAGGGACCAGACUCCUACGGGAGGCAGCAGUGAGGAAUAUUGGUCAAUGGUCGGAAGACUGAACCAGCCAUGCCGCGUGCAGGAAGAAUGCCUUAUGGGUUGUAAACUGCUUUUAUAUGGGAAGAAUAAGGCGUACGUGUACGUUGAUGACGGUACCAUAUGAAUAAGCAUCGGCUAACUCCGUG
rnacentral:rRNA from 1 species